rnacentral:rRNA from 1 species
GACGAACGCUGGCGGCGUGCUUAACACAUGCAAGUCGAGCGGUAAGGCCCUUUCGGGGGUACACGAGCGGCGAACGGGUGAGUAACACGUGGGUGACCUGCCCUCAGCUCUGGGAUAAGCCCGGGAAACUGGGUCUAAUACCGGAUAUGACUUCAUGACGCAUGUUGUGGAGUGGAAAGCCUUGUGCGGCUGAGGAUGGGCCCGCGGCCUAUCAGCUUGCUGGUGGGGUGAUGGCCUACCAAGGCGACGACGGGUAGCCGGCCUGAGAGGGCGACCGGCCACACUGGGACUGAGAUACGGCCCAGACUCCUACGGGAGGCAGCAGUGGGGAAUCUUGCGCAAUGGGCGAAAGCCUGACGCAGCGACGCCGCGUGA